GCUAGUCUCCCCAUUUCAUGGCGGGUAACCCUAAUCACCUCAGGACAGUCCCUUUUGCCACCUAAAGUAACGCAUUCACAGGUACCGGGGAUGUCUUUGAGGGACCUAAUCAGAGAAGCUGAUGGUAGCUGAGUUUCAGGCUCUGAAAAGCCCUCCCUCUACCCCUCCCCUUACCAGCAUUUUCCUGAGGCCCCGGGACCC
rnacentral:lncRNA from 10 species